rnacentral:rRNA from 1 species
AUUGAACGCUGGCGGCAGGCCUAACACAUGCAAGUCGAGCGAGCGGCGGACGGGUGAGUAAUGUCUGGGAAACUGCCUGAUGGAGGGGGAAAACCACUGGAAACGGUAGCUAAUACCGCAUACUACCAGCUGUGCCCAGUUGGGAUUAGCUGGUAGGUGAGGUAACGGCUCACCAAGGCGACGAACCCUAGCUGGUCUGAGCGGAUGACCGGCAACAUUGGAACUGAGACACGGUCCAGACGCCGACGGGAGGCAGCAGUGGGGAAUAUUGCACAAUGGGCGAAAGCCUGAUGCAGCCAUGCCGCGUGUGUGAAGAAGGCCUUCGGGUUGUAAAGCACUUUCAGCAGGGAGGCGUUACCCACAGAAUAAGCACCGGCUAACUCCGUGCCAGCCGCCGCGGUAAUAC